rnacentral:rRNA from 1 species
UACGAAGGGUGCAAGCGUUACUCGGAAUUACUGGGCGUAAAGCGUGCGUAGGCGGUUUGUUAAGUCAGCUGUGAAAGCCCUGGGCUCAACCUGGGAAUUGCAGUGGAUACUGGCAAGCUAGAGUGCGGUAGAGGAUGGUGGAAUUCCCGGUGUAGCGGUGAAAUGCGUAGAGAUCGGGAGGAACACCCGUGGCGAAGGCGGCCAUCUGGACCAGCACUGACGCUGAGGCACGAAAGCGUGGGGAGCAAACAGG